GACGAACGCUGGCGGCGUGCUUAACACAUGCAAGUCGAGCGGUAAGGCCCUUUCGGGGGUACACGAGCGGCGAACGGGUGAGUAACACGUGGGUGACCUGCCUCUAGCUCUGGGAUAAGCCCGGGAAACUGGGUCUAAUACUGGAUAUGACUCCAUGACGCAUGUUGUGGGGUGGAAAGCCUUGUGCGGCUAGAGAUGGGCCCGCGGCCUAUCAGCUUGUUGGGGGGUGAUGGCCUACCAAGGCGACGACGGGUAGCCGGCCUGAGAGGGCGACCGGCCACACUGGGACUGAGACACGGCCCAGACUCCUACGGGAGGCAGCAGUGGGGAAUCUUGCGCAAUGGGCGAAAGCCUGACGCAGCGACGCCGCGUGAGGAUGAC
rnacentral:rRNA from 1 species